rnacentral:rRNA from 1 species
UACGUAGGGUGCAAGCGUUGUCCGGAAUUAUUGGGCGUAAAGAGCUCGUAGGCGGUUUGUUGCGUCGGCUGUGAAAUCCCGAGGCUCAACCUCGGGUCUGCAGUCGAUACGAGCAAACUAGAGUGUUGCAGGGGAGACUGGAAUUCCUGGUGUAGCGGUGAAAUGCGCAGAUAUCAGGAGGAACACCGGUGGCGAAGGCGGGUCUCUGGGCAACAACUGACGCUGGAGGAGCGAAAGCAUGGGGAGCGAACAGG